AUUGAACGCUGGCGGCAUGCCUUACACAUGCAAGUCGAACGGUAACGGGCCUCCGGGUGCCGACGAGUGGCGAACGGGUGAGUAAUACAUCGGAACGUGCCCGAUCGUGGGGGAUAACGAGGCGAAAGCUUUGCUAAUACCGCAUACGAUCUACGGAUGAAAGCAGGGGACCGCAAGGCCUUGCGCGGACGGAGCGGCCGAUGGCAGAUUAGGUAGUUGGUGGGAUAAAAGCUUACCAAGCCGACGAUCUGUAGCUGGUCUGAGAGGAUGAUCAGCCACACUGGGACUGAGACACGGCCCAGACUCCUACGGGAGGCAGCAGUGGGGAAUUUUGGACAAUGGGCGCAAGCCUGAUCCAGCCAUGCCGCGUGCAGGAUGAAGGCCUUCGGGUUGUAAACUGCUUUUGUACGGAACGAAAAGCCUUCUUUUAAUACAGGAGGGUCAUGACGGUACCGUAAGAAUAAGCACCGGCUAACUACGUG
rnacentral:rRNA from 1 species